GUGCCUACGGGGCGCAGCAGUGGGGAAUAUUGCACAAUGGGCGCAAGCCUGAUGCAGCGACGCCGCGUGCGGGAUGGAGGCCUUCGGGUUGUAAACCGCUUUUGUUCAAGGGCAAGGCACGGUCUUUGGCCGUGUUGAGUGGAUUGUUCGAAUAAGCACCGGCUAACUACGUGCCAGCAGCCGCGGUAAUACGUAGGGCGCAAGCGUUAUCCGGAUGAAUUGGGCGGAAAGGGCUCGUAGGCGGUUCGUCGCGUCAGGUGUGGAAGUCCAUCGCUUAACGGCGGGUGCGCGCCGGGGACGGGCGG
rnacentral:rRNA from 1 species